CCUACGGGUGGCAGCAGUGGGGAAUAUUGCACAAUGGGGGAAACCCUGAUGCAGCGACGCCGCGUGAGUGAAGAAGUAUCUCGGUACGUAAAGCUCUAUCAGCAGGAAAGAAAAUGACGGUACCUGACUAAGAAGCCCCGGCUAACUACGUGCCAGCAGCCGCGGUAAUACGUAGGGGGCAAGCGUUAUCCGGAUUUACUGGGUGUAAAGGGAGCGUAGACGGUGCUGCAAGUCAGGAGUGAAAGCCCAUGGCUUAACCAUGGUACUGCUCUGGAAACUGUAGAGCUAGAGAGCGGGAGGGGCAGGCGGAAUGCCUGGUGUAGCGGUGAAAUGCGUAGAUAUUAGGAGGAACACCGGCGGCGAAGGCGGCCUGCCGGACCGUAACUGACGUUGAGGCUCGAAAGCGUGGGGAGCAAACAGGAUUAGAUACCCUUGUAGUC
rnacentral:rRNA from 1 species